AUACUCAACAAAACGAUUAAGAAGAACAUCAUAAAAAUGGCUAUAACCGUAAAAACUUUAGUCUCAUUUGUUUUAACUAUCUUUUUAUUCAUAUCUUUUAUUGACUGUCGUACAUUAACCGCUGAAACUCUUUCAACUACUUUAAAUUCUCCAGGAUUUGGAAUAGAAGAUGUGUGCUUUGGAGGAUUUUGGCCGUGUAAGGAUGACAUUCUCUUUGGUUGCGUUAGAUAUUGCAAUAAAUAUAAUUACAAAUUUGGACGAUGUACUGACAUCCAAGGAUGUUGUUGUUAUUGAAAAAAAGCGUAUAAGAUGAAAUAAUAUAAUAAAAUGUGUUGUUUGAAAUAUAACAUCAAUGGUUUUUAUA